GGCGGCAUNCCUUACACAUGCAAGUCGAACGGCAGCACGGACUUCGGUCUGGUGGCGAGUGGCGAACGGGUGAGUAAUACAUCGGAACGUGCCUAGUAGUGGGGGAUAACUACUCGAAAGAGUGGCUAAUACCGCAUGAGAUCUACGGAUGAAAGCAGGGGAUCGCAAGACCUUGUGCUACUAGAGCGGCUGAUGGCAGAUUAGGUAGUUGGUGGGAUAAAAGCUUACCAAGCCGACGAUCUGUAGCUGGUCUGAGAGGACGAUCAGCCACACUGGGACUGAGACACGGCCCAGACUCCUACGGGAGGCAGCAGUGGGGAAUUUUGGACAAUGGGCGCAAGCCUGAUCCAGCAAUGCCGCGUGCAGGAUGAAGGCCUUCGGGUUGUAAACUGCUUUUGUACGGAACGAAAAGCUUCGGGCUAAUACCCUGGAGUCAUGACGGUACCGUAAGAAUAAGCACCGGCUAACUACGUGCCAGCAGCCGCCGGU
rnacentral:rRNA from 1 species